rnacentral:misc_RNA from 1 species
GAUGAAGAACGUAGCGAAAUGCAAUAAGUAAUGUGAAUUGCAGAAUUCAGUGAAUCAUCGAAUCUUUGAACGCACAUUGCGCCCGCCAGUAUUCUGGCGGGCAUGCCUGUCUGAGCGUCAUUUCAACCCUCAUGCCCCUAGGGCGUGGUGUUGGGGAUCGGCCAAAGCCCGCGAGGGACGGCCGGCCCCUAAAUCUAGUGGCGGACCCGUCGUGGCCUCCUCUGCGAAGUAGUGAUAUUCCGCAUCGGAGAGCGAUGAGCCCCUGCCGUUAAACCCCCAACUUUCCAAGGUUGACCUCAGAUCAGGUAGGAAUACCCGCUGAACUUAAGCAUAUCAAUAAGCGGAGGA